rnacentral:lncRNA from 1 species
UCCAUUUUAUUUCAUGAACACAGAGAUUCAUUAUUUUAGCCUAUAAAUUGAGAUAAAAAAUCAAUAGAAAUGAAGACAAGAUUCUACACAAAACAAAAAAAAGAGGAAACAGUUAAAAAAAUGUAAAAGAGAAAUAACAAGCUUAACGUUUAUCUCUCUGUACUCAUUCAUACACCAUAACAACCAUUUGAACUCCAAAUAACUUUUUACUACCUCAAAAAAAAAAAAAAAAACAUGUAAACAAACCAAAGAACUUUUGAGAUGGGGGAUUUUUUUAAAAAUAAAUAAAUAUGAAAGAAAUCUCAACAUACGUCAAAUAUAGCCAUCGCCAACCACCACGGGGGCCCCUCUGUUGUUAUGUCAUUGGCGAUUGACUCCUCCCCUACCACAAACCACCAUCGCCAUCAUGACCCUCGCUCGCGGGCAACUCUAACAUACCAGAGCACCAUUCACGACAACACCUCGUUGAUUUUUUUUUUCUUUCACUUUUUCUUCCUUUGCUCUUUGAAAAUCAUAUUUAUCUCUUUGUAUCACAGUCGCAAUACUCCCUCUUUGUCAUUCAUAUUGAUUCACUUUAGGGUUUUUCUUUUUCUAAUUUUAGAUUGUUAUGCUUUUUUGAGUUGGGUGCGCAACUCAAACCCAUUCACUCACUUUUUUUUUUUUUUAUUAUUCUUUGUCCAACAAAAAAAAAA